rnacentral:rRNA from 1 species
ACGGGUGAGUAACACGUGGGCAACCUGCCCUUGAGACUGGGAUAACUUCGGGAAACCGGGGCUAAUACCGGAUAAUAUAAGGAACCUCCUGGUUCCUUAUUGAAAGAUGGUUUCGGCUAUCACUUAAGGAUGGGCCCGCGGCGCAUUAGCUAGUUGGUGAGGUAACGGCUCACCAAGGCGACGAUGCGUAGCCGACCUGAGAGGGUGAUCGGCCACACUGGGACUGAGACACGGCCCAGACUCCUACGGGAGGCAGCAGUAGGGAAUCUUCCACAAUGGACGAAAGUCUGAUGGAGCAACGCCGCGUGAGUGAUGAAGGCCUUCGGGUCGUAAAGCUCUGUUGUUAAGGAAGAACAAGUGCGAGAGUAACUGCUCGCACCUUGACGGUACCUAACCAGAAAGCCACGGCUAACUACGUGCCAGCAGCCGCGGUAAUACGUAGGUGGCAAGCGUUAUCCGGAAUUAUUGGGCGUAAAGCGCGCGCAGGUGGUUUCUUAAGUCUGAUGUGAAAGCCCACGGCUCAACCGUGGAGGGUCAUUGGAAACUGGGGAACUUGAGUGCAGAAGAGGAAAGUGGAAUU